AAUAUUGCACAAUGGAGGAAACUCUGAUGCAGCGACGCCGCGUGAAGGAAGAAGGUCUUCGGAUUGUAAACUUCUGUUGUCAGGGACGAUAAUGACGGUACCUGACGAGAAAGCCACGGCUAACUACGGGCCAGCAGCCGCGGUAAAACGUAGGUGGCAAGCGUUGUCCGGAAUUACUGGGUGUAAAGGGAGCGCAGGCGGAUUGGUAAGUUGGAGGUGAAAUUCAUGGGCUCAACCCAUGACCUGCCUUCAAAACUACCAGUCUUGAGUGGUGCAGAGGUAGGCGGAAUUCCCGGUGUAGCGGUGGAAUGCGUAGAUAUCGGGAGGAACACCAGUGGCGAAGGCGGCCUACUGGGCACUAACUGACGCUGAGGCUCGAAAGCAUGGGUAGCAAA
rnacentral:rRNA from 1 species